ACAUGCCUACAACAUAGUGGUAAUGCAUCGAAUCCCAUUAGAACUCCGCAGUUAAGCGCGCCCGGGCUAGAGUAGUACUGAGAUGGGUGAUCGCUCAGGAAGUCCUAGUAUUUUACAUGCC
rnacentral:rRNA from 1 species